rnacentral:lncRNA from 1 species
AUGGGAGGGGGAGAGGAUCCUUGGAUCAGCCGCGCUGCGAAGCGGGACUGGGCAGGAUUGUGCCAAGCGGGACUUUUCCUGCUGCCAGAGCUCCUCCGCAGCGUCACUCGCUGCCGGGAAGGGAGGGAGCGCGGUGUGUGUCUGCCGGGGGCACGGUGCGGAGCGGGAAGAGAUCCUCCGAGAACCCCCACUGAAGCAGAAGCAUCUAAAACAUAUCCAGAGAGGUCUGCAGAUCCGGUGGAGAUGGGAGCUCCUGUGCCUUUCCUCAAUGCUCUGCCUAAAACCUCCACUCUCUGGUGGCGAGGAGCCUCUCGGUUGGCCAAGGCCCCAUUCCAAGGAGGGAAGAUGCACCCUGCCCCUCUGCCAGCCCGGUCAGAUUUGGCUGCUGUGUCAGGAGUUCUGGUCAGGUUCCAUUUAAUUAUAUCGGGAAAAGCAAAGCUCAGCUUGCAACGCUUGCUGGAAGGAAAACCACUUGCACCUGUCCUGGUUUACCGAACUCAUCCUUGCAUGUAG